rnacentral:misc_RNA from 1 species
GAAAGGCGAAACGUAAUGUGAAUCGCAACUAACAGUGAAUCAUCGAAUCUUUGAACGCAGGCCGCGCUUUGCAUAUCACUUGUGUUAUCGCAAAGCAUUUACGUAUGAGUGUCAGCCUAAUAUACUUUUGGUUUAAUGGUAUUUUGAUAUACUAUUGAAUACAUUAUGUGUGUUACUCGUAAGAGUGCACGCUAAUAACAAACUUAUGUCUGGCCUCAUAUGUGAAAGAUUACCCGCUGGAUUUAA